GAUGAACGCUGGCGGCGUGCCUAAUACAUGCAAGUCGAGCGAACAGACGAGGAGCUUGCUCCUCUGACGUUAGCGGCGGACGGGUGAGUAACACUUGGAUAACCUACCUAUAAGACUGGGAUAACUUCGGGAAACCGGAGCUAAUACCGGAUAAUAUAUUGAACCGCAUGGUUCAAUAGUGAAAGACGGUUUUGCUGUCACUUAUAGAUGGAUCCGCGCCGCAUUAGCUAGUUGGUAAGGUAACGGCUUACCAAGGCAACGAUGCGUAGCCGACCUGAGAGGGUGAUCGGCCACACUGGAACUGAGACACGGUCCAGACUCCUACGGGAGGCAGCAGUAGGGAAUCUUCCGCAAUGGGCGAAAGCCUGACGGAGCAACGCCGCGUGAGUGAUGAAGGUCUUCGGAUUGUAAAACUCUGUUAUUAGGGAAGAACAAAUGUGUAAGUAACUAUGCACGUCUUGACGGUACCUAAUCAGAAAGCCACGGCUAACUACGUG
rnacentral:rRNA from 1 species